UAUGGAGUUGCCCUGCAUCACAGAACAAUAGAGCUCAGCAAUAGAAUUUUAUGGGGAAAGGGGGGUUGGCCCUUAUUAAAAGCCUGGUCAGGCUGAUGUCCAACAUAAAUGAAGAGAAGCUUUUCUGUUCCUAGUCAACUUCUUUAAACUCCAGAUCUUGUCCAUUUAUUAACUUCUAAACCACCACAUCUUUUUCAAGUCAGGACCCCAACCCAGCCAAAUGGACAAUGAGCAUGCAUCAGCUCUGUCCACAGCAAAAUCUGGCAAGUUGAUGAAUCCAUCGGCUUUCUCUGCCUGAAAGAGGUACAAAAUCACGAAUCUGAAUUACA